UACAUGGGGUGCAAACGUUGCUCGGAAUUAUUGGGCGUAAAGCGCACGUAGGCGGUUUGUUAAGUCGGAUGUGAAAUCCCUCGGCUCAACUGAGGAAGUGCGUCCGAAACUGGCAAGCUUGAGUACGAAAGAGGGUCGCGGAAUUCCCGGUGUAGAGGUGAAAUUCGUAGAUAUCGGGAGGAACACCGGUGGCGAAGGCGGCGACCUGGGUCGAUACUGACGCUGAGGUGCGAAAGCGUGGGGAGCAAACAGG
rnacentral:rRNA from 1 species